AUUACGAAAAGGAGUUCUCGAACUCUUAAACCCUUUGUGAACCUUACCUAUCGUCAGUUGCUUCGGCGGGAGGCCCCUGGGAGGGGCCCCGGGGCCCGGCCUGAGCCGGGCUCCCGCCGGAGGAGCGCAAACCAAACUCUUGCUGUACCUCAGUGGAACAUCCGAGUUAAAAACAAAAAACAAGUUAAAACUUUCAACAACGGAUCUCUUGGUUCUGGCAUCGAUGAAGAACGCAGCGAAAUGCGAUAAGUAAUGUGAAUUGCAGAAUUCAGUGAAUCAUCGAAUCUUUGAACGCACAUUGCGCCCGCCAGUAUUCUGGCGGGCAUGCCUGUUCGAGCGUCAUUUCAACCACUCAGGCCCUGGUGCCUGGCGUCGGGGUUUCUUGCUUAGGUAAAAUCCCCUAGAGUCAGUGGCGGACCCGCCGCGGCUCCGAGCGUAGUAGUAAAAUAUCUCGCUAUGGAGGUCCGUGGGGGGCUUACCGGCCGUAAAAGCUUUCUCUCACGAGAAAAUUCUCAAGGUUGACCUCGGAUCAGGUAGGAAUACCCGCUGAACUUAAGCAUAUCAAUAAGCGGAGGAAAAGAAACCAACAGGGAUUGCCCCAGUAACGGCGAGUGAAGCGGCAACAGCUCAGAUUUGAAAUCUGGUCCCCAGGGCCCGAGUUGUAAUCUGUAGAGGAUGUUUCUGGCAAGGCGCCGUCCGAGUUCCCUGGAACGGGACGCCG
rnacentral:rRNA from 1 species